CUGAGAAUGGGGAGAGACAGGAGAGAGAAGAGGGCAAGGAUGAUGUGGUUUUGGAGUAGAUAUGACAACAUUCACUUAGAUAAUGAUGGCAACUGAUAUAGUUUGAGAGUUUGCUGUGUUGUGGACAAUGAGAAAAAUUGCCUAAAUGAAGUGACAAAAUGUGCAGAUGCUGAGACCACAAGGCCCAGGGCUCGGUUUCCCUUCCACAGGGAAGGGUCCGUGAGCUGAAGAUGGCUGGAGGCAAGAACCCAAGUGUGAAGAUCUGCACUCUUCCUGUGCUCCCCUUUCUUGCAUUCCUCACUGUGAAGUACCCCAUUCCAACUAUAUAAGGAGAGAUGGUGAUUUGAAGAAAUGGGUCUCUCCCUCUCCCCAGAGCUAGCUUUGAAUCAACUAUUUUUUCCAUUUUGUCAAACAUAUGACCUCCUUUGAUCUGGUCAGUAGCAAGCAAACAAACCGAUUGUAUGAACUCGCCUGUAACAGUUAUACCUUAUAUUUGUGUUUCAAAUCAUAUCAGAUAUAGAUGUAAGUACUGUACAUCAAGAAAAAAAUCACAUAACAUACUUGAUGUGGGAUAAGUUCAAAAUCUUUGUUUUUGAAACUUAUAAGACUUUUUUGUAAAAAUAAA